AACUUUCCCUCUCUGUCCCUAAUCAACGAUUGCCGGCGAUCAGCGCCCCCGCACCGCCGAUCUCCAACGGUCAUUUCUCCACCGUUUGCUGUUUCUCCACGACGCGUCGUUUUCAGAUAUAAUUCAUUGGCUUCAGGAUGAAACAUUGACAUUGUUUUGCUUGAUUUUUGAAGAAUUUGAUUUGUGGGUUUUGCGUUUUACGCAUUGGUUUCGUGUUUCGUUCGGUGUAUUCGAUCGACAGGCCUCGGAUAAAAGCUUGAUAGCUGCUGAAUUUACAUUCUUUUUGGUUAAAUUUUGGGACUUGGUAGAGGAAGUUGACUGGAACUUUGAUGUGUCUGUGUCACUAAACAGAUGGAUCUUGAAGCCAAGAGGUUUGGAAGUGGGCCUCGGGAACUUGGCGGUGCUGCUGAUCUCAUAAAUCAGUAUAAGCUUUGUCAUCAUCAUGAAUUCUUUUGCAAGAGAUCACUGCCCUUGUCAAUAUCAGAGACUCAUUAUCUACAUAAUGUGGUGGGAGACACAUCAAUCAGGAAGGGGGAAGGGAUGGAAUUAGAUCAGCUUGUUCAGAAAAACCUUUGUACGAGAGAAAAGUGGACAUAUACAUCCUUUUGAUUUGGGUAUACUUCAUGAAGCUUUUCCAUUAAGGGAAACAACUCGUGUUAAAUUGCCUUCUGCAGAGAAGGGGAUCCGUACCUCGGGGAAGUCAAAAAGUGAGGUUGAUAAAAAGGAGAGGAAGCAUAAAAAGCACAGAGACAAGGAUACAGAUCACAAGAAACACAGAAACCGUCACAAGGACAACAAUGGCGAUGCUGGUAUGAACAAGAAUACCGCUCAUGGCUUGACAACUGAGCAGUUGAAGGAACAAAAAGAUUGGUCCAUCCAGAAGAGGAGGCUUGCUGGUUUUGAAGAUCCUCCCGUCUCCGGACAUAAAAAAGCCAGAAUCAAACGCUGAAACACGUUGCGGAUUUUAAACUAGCAAAAGUAUUGUGAACCGUGUUUAUCAUGAAUCGCAUGUUACAGACUCACAUUGUCAAUUGACAAAAUGACAGAAAAUGCAACACCCAAAACAUUAUUGUUUAAUUUAUUUUUUCCUAUGUUGCUUUGUUUAA